UCCAAAAUUUAUUUUACUUUUGUGAUCAAAAAGCCCCGUCUGGAAAUACAAUUUUGAUUACCAGACCCAGAUUAUUUUUGACCUCUGAAACUUGCUAAGGUUAUGUUUUUGUAAUUUGUCUGUUUUGCAUAAUCAAAGGAAUCCACAUCAACAGGGAGAUCCUGAUUCCUUUGAUCCUUCUUGCUGAACUUAUUGUACAUGUCAACUGCCGUGAUCAAGUAAUGAGGACACACGGAAUCCGGAUCAAAGAUGAAAUAUCAAAGACGAACUCUGGGCUUUGAUCCAGAUCUGCACUAAAAUUUAAUCAACGCUUUCUUGGCCCAGUGCCUACUAUGCUACCAAAUUUCAAUCAAAUCGUUCAUGUCUUUCUGCGAUACUAACCUGCUAACUCACU